rnacentral:rRNA from 1 species
AAGACUAUGACGUUGAUAGGCCGGGUGUGUAAGCGCAGCGAUGCGUUGAGCUAACCGGUACUAAUGAACCGUGAGGCUUAACCUU